UGAUAACUGGUUAUCAAACGUUUAGAAACAUAUCGACGAAUAUGAUCGGAAGCAUCAACUGAAUUUAAAGUGUAAUGAUCCUCUAAACCUGAUGGAUUCAUAGCGAUUUGAAGCAGUCGACAAUGUUUAUUGUGUUAUGUAGAUUAAUCAGUCGAUCAGCUGACCAUCCAAGAUUUGCGUUCAUGUCGAGCUUUUGCAGAGACAACGCGAUUGUCAUUAUAAAGCCUCAGUGCGCCGCUACCAUUCAUCCAAAAAUACAAGUUGGUUCUGACGUUCUAUUAGAAACAGAAAAUUUCCACUUCAGCGAGAAUGACAUCAGUUUCAUUAUCCCGUCCAUUUGCUCUUGGAUGUUCUAGACCGAAUUUUUGACAUUGAAGCUCAGUUCUGAUGCAUCAAGAUUUACGAACACUUGGUUCAAGAUGUUGUUUGGGUAAAGAAAACAAAAUUCCAUCUUUUUGGUACAGAAAAGUCCUCAAAAAUAUCAAAGAUAUCAAAUAUGGAUUGAAUAUAUUGUGAUGAAAAUAAUUUGCAAACCACAUAUCUACUGAUAUUCAAAAAUCAAACUUCAAAAUAUGUUUGUACUGAAGUUCUUUUUCAAUUUUCACAAAAAUUCUCAAGGGAACAAAUCUAUUUUUGCUAAAGUGACAUUUUUUAAAACUUUAAUUAUAACAAGCUAAUAAGUAUCUUAUUAUUUCAAAUGACUGUUAAAUACUUUUCUUACUAUCAUA